GAUACCAUUGCAAACUAAAACAACACUACAAAACACACAGCUGAACGAGUAAAGUCAAAGACCCCAAAAAGGUUGCUAAUUAGCCCUUUCAUGCACCUUGUAACUUGACAACAUGAUAAGCUCAUCAUAAGCACUUGUUUGUUUUAGUCUAUUAUUUCUUCAUAGUAACCUCUUCCAUCUACUAUCCAAGCUGCUCAUCCUCACGAGGGUCAUGGGCAUGCUGGAGCCGAUCCCAGCUGUCUUUGAGCAGCAGGCGGGGUACACCCUGAACUGGUUGCCAGCCAAUUGCAGUACAUCUCCAUUUAUUUUUACCGUAUUGGCAGGAAUAUAAGACGACCCUGAUUAUAAGACGACCCGCUAGUUUUCAAGACUCUAGUUUGAAAAAAUACUUUUUGAACACCAAAUUAAUUUAUAACAAAUAAAUUAAUGAUUAUAACAAUAUAUU